AAGUGGGGGAUAACAUUUGGAACAGAUGCUAAUACCGCAUAAAACCUAACACCGCAUGGUGUAGGGUUGAAAGAUGGUUUCGGCUAUCACUUUAGGAUGGACCCGCGGUGCAUUAGUUAGUUGGUGAGGUAAAGGCUCACCAAGACCGUGAUGCAUAGCCGACCUGAGAGGGUAAUCGGCCACACUGGGACUGAGACACGGCCCAGACUCCUACGGGAGGCAGCAGUAGGGAAUCUUCCACAAUGGACGAAAGUCUGAUGGAGCAACGCCGCGUGAGUGAAGAAGGUUUUCGGAUCGUAAAACUCUGUUGUUGGAGAAGAAUGUAUCUGAUAGUAACUGAUCAGGUAGUGACGGUAUCCAACCAGAAAGCCACGGCUAACUACGUGCCAGCAGCCGCGGUAAUACGUAGGUGGCAAGCGUUGUCCGGAUUUAUUGGGCGUAAAGCGAGCGCAGGCGGUUUCUUAAGUCUGAUGUGAAAGCCUUCGGCUCAACCGAAGAAGUGCAUCGGAAACUGGGAAACUUGAGUGCAGAAGAGGACAGUGGAACUCCAUGUGUAGCGGUGAAAUGCGUAGAUAUAUGGAAGAACACCAGUGGCGAAGGCGGCUGUCUGGUCUGUAACUGACGCUGAGGCUCGAAAGCAUGGGUAGCAAACAGGAUUAGAUACCCUGGUAGUCCAUGCCGUAAACGAUGAGUGCUAGGUGUCGGAGGGUUUCCGCCCUUCAGUGCCGCAGCUAACGCAUUAAGCACUCCGCCUGGGGAGUACGACCGCAAGGUUGAAACUCAAAGGAAUUGACGGGGGCCCGCACAAGCGGUGGAGCAUGUGGUUUAAUUCGAAGCAACGCGAGGAACCUUACCAGGUCUUGACAUCCUUUGACCACUCUAGAGAUAGAGCUUUCCCUUCGGGGACAAAGUGACAGGUGGUGCAUGGUUGUCGUCAGCUCGUGUCGUGAGAUGUUGGGUUAAGUCCCGCAACGAGCGCAACCCUUAUUACUAGUUGCCAGCAUUUAGUUGGGCACUCUAGUGAGACUGCCGGUGACAAACCGGAGGAAGGUGGGGACGACGUCAAAUCAUCAUGCCCCUUAUGACCUGGGCUACACACGUGCUACAAUGGAUGGUACAACGAGUUGCGAGACCGAGAGGUUUAGCUAAUCUCUUAAAACCAUUCUCAGUUCGGAUUGUAGGCUGCAACUCGCCUACAUGAAGCCGGAAUAGCUAGUAAUCGCGGAUCAGCAUGCCGCGGUGA
rnacentral:rRNA from 1 species